UACGAAGGAUCCAAGCGUUAUCCGGAUUUAUUGGGUUUAAAGGGUGCGUAGGCGGGCUAUUAAGUCAGUGGUGAAAGCCCCAAGCUUAACUCGGAAACUGCCGUUGAUACUAUCUGUCUUGAAUGUCGUGGAGGCAGGCGGAAUAUGUCAUGUAGCGGUGAAAUGCUUAGAUAUGACAUAGAACACCAAUUGCGAAGGCAGCUUGCUACACGAUGAUUGACGCUGAGGCACGAAAGCGUGGGGAUCAAACAGG
rnacentral:rRNA from 1 species